rnacentral:rRNA from 1 species
ACCGGGAAGGGUCAUUCAAUACUGUGGGGCUUGAGGGCAGAAGAGGGGGGUGGAAUUGCCGGUGUAGUGGUGAAAUGCGUAGAUAUCGGCAGGAACACCUGUGGCGAAAGCGGCCCCCUGGUCUGCUCCUGACACUCAGACGCGAAAGCUAGGGGAGCGAACGGGAUUAGAAACCCCGGUAGUCCUAGCCGUAAACGAUGGAUGCUAGGUGUAGGUGGUAUUGACCCCAUCUGUGCCGAAGCUAACGCGUUAAGCAUCCCGCCUGGGGACUACGGCCGCAAGGUUAAAACUCAAAGGAAUUGACGGGGACCCGCACAAGCAGCGGAGCGUGUGGUUUAAUUCGAUGCUACACGAAGAACCUUACCCAGGUUUGACAUGCAGGUAGUAGUGAAGCGAAAGUGGAACGAUCCUUCGGGAAGCCUGCACAGGUGCUG